UACAGAGGAGCCAAGCGUUGUCCGGAUUGACUGGGCGUAAAGCGCACGCAGGCGGAUGCGCGCGUGGGGUGUGAAAUCUGGCCGCUUAACGGCCAGGCGCCAUCCCAUACGGCGCGUCUGGAGCCUUGCAGAGGUCGGUGGAAUUGCCGGUGUAGCGGUGAAAUGCGCAGAUAUCAGGAGGAACACCGGUGGCGAAGGCGGGUCUCUGGGCCGAUACUGACGCUGAGGAGCGAAAGCGUGGGGAGCGAACAGG
rnacentral:rRNA from 1 species